UCUCAGGGUUUUUGAGAAUCAUGAGACCUACAGGACAACAAGAGCAAGCAGAGUGAGCAAAUCGGAAGCUAGAAGGCAGGCAGGCUGAGGAACCCAGAUGGCAGAAGGAAGAGAAGAAGAACGCAGCGUUUGCUUGCUCACUCUGUUCCAGUGACCUUGGGGCCCUGCAGGGCAGCCCGUGGAGGAGCUGCUCCAUCUGGUGUGGUGGUGACACUGAAAGUGUGAAAUCAAGCAUGGGCAUCCUCAGGGGUGCAGGGCCCUGGACACCGAUGCAUUUCUCUCCCUCGCCCCCAGUCAUGGUGGCCACCCUGGUGCCGGGUUCUAGGCCCCUGGAUUCAGCUUCAGCUUGGUGACAGUGUGACCACAGACUGCAAAGUCUAAGG